AAAAAAAAAAAAAAAAGAAAAAGAAAUGAACUCUAUGAAUAAAAAAUGAACUGAACCUAAUUGAAGAUGCCAAUUGAAUCGAACCAAACAAACCAAAUGAAAUUAAGCGAUUAGGUCCAUUAACUCGUCUUCCAAUUUCAACAGCAAAAGAAAAAUCCAUCUACACAGUCUCAAACUUUCAACAGUUAGAUAAGCUCAGAUUUCUCCCCAACAAACUCUGAGCCCCACAACUAAUUCAAACUCUCUAAAUCCUUAACACUACAAGCUUUUGAUCCUAGGAGUACAUAGCCUCACAACUAUUCCAAUAACAAUGAUUAACAACAAACAAAACAAUUCUAACCUCACAAAUCAACUAAUAACAACAAAGCUCAAAAUUAUGAUCUGGAAAAGAAAAAAUAGAACAAAAAUUAUAGCCAUGAAAAACCUUGAUAACCAGACUAUCAAGGACUCAAAUCAUACUAUCAUUGAUGCUUGGUUUUGCAAUGCUGGCUGUCAAGCAUUGGAAAAAUGGAAGAAAGUUGCUGUUGUGCAUUUUGGCACAGGGAACAAUAUAUAUUAUGGUGUCAAAGGUUCUUUGCUAACCUACGGAGCGAAUUGUCAGAGGAAAUACAGAUGUUGGGGCUUGUGGAGGACGUAACUAAACACCAUUUAUAGUUUUUGAAGAAAAGGGGUUGAGGAAGGGAGAGAUGCGUAGAGGAGACAAGAGGCUAAAGGGAGAGUGAGAAAUCAAGAAGGGAGAGACAACAAUGGUGAUAUGAGGUGAGAUGAGGCAAAGGCAAAGUCAUGGUCGAGGAUGGAAUGUGAGAAACUGGAAAAGGAGAAAGGAAAAAAACAAUUAGGGUUCGGGGGUUAAAGCAGGGCCACAAAAUUUCAUAAUCACUAAUGGGAAACUAAAUUUUAGUUAGUUUGUUAAUUUCAGCUUUUUUGACAUUAAGGACAAUGGGAUUUUAGAAGUAAAUAACCAAAUCGAAUCAUUAACACUGGAAAACUGAAUUAGAACGGUCAAUUUAUUGCUAUAAUGAAAUUUUACUCGAUCCUAAAUAUUGUAUUAUUAUAUUAUCUUAUUGGUGGUGAUAUAGAAAAUCUUCAUUUAGUUUAUUUUAAUGUAAGAAAAAUAAAAUGAAGAAUCUUGGAGUUGAGUGGGAGAGUAAUAUGAGUCCAUGAUUUGAUGGGUUAUUCUUAAAAUUCAAAUCCAUGGCCAGACUGAUCCUUCCUUAUGAAUGGUAAUAAGCCCCAUAGUUAUUAAAGGCUCAAGGCGCACUAAGGUGCCAAAGAGACUUGGAGCCUAGGUGCAUGCGCGUGCUUGAACGACGCUAGGCAUAAAAAAAAAAUUAAAUAAUUUAUCAUAAUUCAAAUAAUAUUAGAUGGUCAUUUAAAUUUAUCUACUUUCAUAAUUAUAAAAGUUUAGUGAUAUAAUAAAAUUUUAUUACAAAUUAUAUUUAUUUAAUUGUAUUUUUUAAUAAGUUUAAACAAUAUAAUAAUUAAUUCAGUGCUAAUCAUAUAAAUUUAAUUACCCUCAUAUUUACAAAACAUAUUUUGCAAUUUCAAAUUCCAAUUUAUCAUUUAAUAAUAAUAAUAAUAAUAAUAAUAAUAAUAAUAAUAAACUUUUAGUUAAAAAAUUAAAAUACCUAAUGUUUUAAUCACAUAAAAUAAAAAUAAAUUAUUUUUCAUUUUCAAUAUUAAAAAGAAAUUAAGCAUAAAAAGGGACAUGCAUGAAUUGUCGGGACCAAAAACCAAACCAUGGAAAAAUGGGCAGCAUGACGCCAUGAUGGUCAGCAACAAUCGUGGAGAAGAAGAAGAAGAAGAAGAAAAGUAGCCAGGUGCUCAACUUUCUUCAUGGUAGCAACAAUGGUGAAAAAGAAGAGGAAGAAGAAGAAUAGUAACAACUUACCUGUAGAUUUGCUUGAGGAAGUUGAAUGCACCUUGGUGUGCCUUUGUAACAUUGUCUGCCUGGAAGGCUUUCAAGUGCUGCCGUUGGAGCCUAGCGUGCCUUGUGCUUGAGGCGCACCUCAGUCAUGAAUUAAGCCCCCAGUUAAGUUGUGCAAAUAAAAGUUAAACUAUUGGCUUCACUUGGUGUAUUUUUGCUAUUAAUUUUGUAUUAUAAUUAGGAGGCUAUUAGACUAAAGAACUGUUGGUGCCAAUACAAAAGUUGGUUAGAGUUGGUUAGUUAAGUCUGUUAGAGCAGUUAUGUAGCUUGCUUAUAAUAUAUAUAUUCGAGCCUUGAACAAAAUGUGUGAAAAUAUAGAAAACUUUUCCUUCUCAAUUUGUUUCUCACUUGGUAUUAGAGCUCCAAGCAGUUACAAUUUUUUUCUCUACAUUCCUUCGUUUCUUUUUGUUUUUCAACUGAAAACCCUAAAGAAUUUUCCUUAUGGUGACUGCUUAGCAAGCUCUUGCUCUAGUUAUGAUGUUACUCAUAAUCCGUCCAGUCCAUAAUAUUAUCAUCCAAAUGAGAAUGUGGCAUUGGUUUUGGUAGUGCUGGUGCUUAUGGGAUCAAGAUCCAAUUAUCCCUCCUAGACUUGGGUAAUGAGAGUGGCACUUCUAUCUAAGAUAAGCUGUGUUUUGUGGAUGGAUGUUUAAGAGUUUCAAUAGUCACAGAUCCUCUAUACUGUUUCCAGCCUGGAUGAGAUAAACGCAGUUGAUGCAUGGAAAGGUAUAAAGGAAAGUUCUUUCAAGGUAAUGCUCUUCACAUCUUUGAUUUCCAAGAAGAAAUAUAUGCUCU
rnacentral:lncRNA from 1 species